CACGUAGGGCGCAAGCGUUGUCCGGAAUUAUUGGGCGUAAAGAGCUCGUAGGCGGUCUGUUGCGUCUGCUGUGAAAACUCGGGGCUUAACCCCGAGCCUGCAGUGGAUACGGGCAGACUAGAGGUAGGUAGGGGAGAAUGGAAUUCCCGGUGUAGCGGUGAAAUGCGUAGAUAUCAGGAGGAACACCGGUGGCGAAGGCGGCUUUCUGGACAGUAACCGACGCUGAGGCGCGAAAGCUAGGGGAGCAAACAGG
rnacentral:rRNA from 1 species